GCCCGGAUGGCGGAAUUGGUAGACGCGCUAGCUUCAGGUGCUAGUGUCCUUAUGGACGUGAAGGUUCAAGUCCUUUUCCGGGCA
rnacentral:tRNA from 1 species